CUACGGGAGGCAGCAGUGGGGAAUAUUGCACAAUGGGCGAAAGCCUGAUGCAGCGACGCCGCGUGAGGGAUGACGGCCUUCGGGUUGUAAACCUCUUUCAGCAGGGAAGAAGCGAAAGUGACGGUACCUGCAGAAGAAGCGCCGGCUAACUACGUGCCAGCAGCCGCGGUAAUACGUAGGGCGCGAGCGUUGUCCGGAAUUAUUGGGCGUAAAGAGCUCGUAGGCGGCUUGUCGCGUCGGUUGUGAAAGCCCGGGGCUUAACCCCGGGUCUGCAGUCGAUACGGGCAGGCUAGAGUUCGGUAGGGGAGAUCGGAAUUCCUGGUGUAGCGGUGAAAUGCGCAGAUAUCAGAGAGGAACACCGGUGGCGAAGGCGGAUCUCUGGGCCGAUACUGACGCUGAGGAGCGAAAGCGUGGGGAGCGAACAGGAUUAGAUACCCUGGUAGUCCACGCCGUAAACGGUGGGCACUAGGUGUGGGCGACAUUCCACGUCGUCCGUGCCGCAGCUAACGCAUUAAGAGCCCCGCCUGGGGAGUACGGUCGCAAGGCUAAAACUCAAAGGAAUUGACGG
rnacentral:rRNA from 1 species